GCCUUGGUAGCUCAGCCUGGUAGAGCGUUGCCUUGGUAAGGCAAAGGUCGCGGGUCCAAAUCCCGCCCAAGGCU
rnacentral:tRNA from 3 species